ACCAUUUGACCCUCAGCAUGGCCUGGGCCCUGUAUCUCCUCACAGUUAUCAGUUACUACUCAGGUGUCAGGUCACAGCCUUGGACUCAGCCUGCGUCAGUAUCUGUGUCCCUGGGAGGGACAGCAAAACUAUCCUGCACAACAGACAGUGAAAAUUACAGCAUUUAUUGGUAUCAACAGAAAGCUGGCCAGGUCCCCCGCUAUGUCCACUAUGCAGGAGGCAGCAGGGGAGAAGGGAUCCCGGAUCGGUUCACUGCUUCUGUCUCUGGGAUCACUGGCUAUUUAACCAUCGCUAAUGUCCAGACUGAUGAUGAGGCAGAUUUCUACUGUGUUAAAUGGUACAAGAGUGGUAACCAGUUCCACAGUGAUAAAAGCUAAUGAGGAACUGAGACAAAAACCUUCACUCUUUCUCCCUAGAGUGAAGGAUUUAGAAGCAUUUCAAGUUUAAUUUGAUCAGUGCUUGUCGUGAGAACCGUG